rnacentral:rRNA from 1 species
UACGGAGGGGGCUAGCGUUGUUCGGAAUUACUGGGCGUAAAGCGCACGUAGGCGGAUUGGAAAGUUGGGGGUGAAAUCCCAGGGCUCAACCCUGGAACUGCCUUCAAAACUCCCAGUCUGGAGGUCGAGAGAGGUGAGUGGAAUUCCGAGUGUAGAGGUGAAAUUCGUAGAUAUUCGGAGGAACACCAGUGGCGAAGGCGGCUCACUGGCUCGAUACUGACGCUGAGGUGCGAAAGCGUGGGGAGCAAACAGG